GACGAACGCUGGCGGCGUGCUUAACACAUGCAAGUCGAACGGAAAGGCCCUGCUUUUGUGGGGUGCUCGAGUGGCGAACGGGUGAGUAACACGUGAGUAACCUGCCCUUGACUUUGGGAUAACUUCAGGAAACUGGGGCUACUACAGGAUAGGAGCUCCUGCUGCAUGGUGGGGGUUGGAAAGUUUCGGCGGUUGGGGAUGGACUCGCGGCUUAUCAGCUUGUUGGUGGGGUAGUGGCUUACCAAGGCUUUGACGGGUAGCCGGCAUGAGAGGGUGAACGGCGACAUGGGGACUAAGAUACGGCCCAGACUCCUACGGGAGGCAGCAGUGGGGAAUAUUGCACAAUGGGCGGAAGCCGGAUGCAGCAACGCCGCGGGCGGGAUGACGGCCUUCGGGUUGUAAACCGCUUUCGCCUGUGACGAAGCGUGAGUGACGGUAAUGGGUAAAGAAGCACCGGCUAACUACGUG
rnacentral:rRNA from 1 species